UGGGGAAUUUUGGACAAUGGACGCAAGUCUGAUCCAGCCAUGCCGCGUGCGGGAAGAAGGCCUUCGGGUUGUAAACCGCUUUUGUCAGGGAAGAAACGAGUUUCUCUAAUACAGAGACUUAAUGACGGUACCUGAAGAAUAAGCACCGGCUAGCUACGUGCCAGCAGCCGCGGUAAUACGUAGGGUGCAAGCGUUAAUCGGAAUUACUGGGCGUAAAGCGUGCGCAGGCGGUUAUAUAAGACAGAUGUGAAAUCCCCGGGCUCAACCUGGGAACUGCAUUUGUGACUGUAUAGCUAGAGUACGGCAGAGGGGGAUGGAAUUCCGCGUGUAGCAGUGAAAUGCGUAGAUAUGCGGAGGAACACCGAUGGCGAAGGCGGUCCCCUGGGCCUGUACUGACGCUCAUGCACGAAAGCGUGGGGAGCAAACA
rnacentral:rRNA from 1 species